rnacentral:lncRNA from 1 species
CCGUUUUCUUUCUUCUUCGGAUAUAAUUAAUUUUCUUAACGACCGAAAUGGUUGGUGGGCUACCAUGAGACGGUAGUGGAGCGGAGCAGCGCGUCGUGGGACCCGUGGAUCUGUCGCCGUUUAGUACCAACUUUUAGCGUCAGCUAAAUGAACGGUGAUCCUUCGUUAGCGUGUUUGCAUUAAGUGCGUGGAAGCGUUACCUUCUUGGAAUUAGCUCGCGAUAUUUCCUCGUCAAGUCGGCAAACAUCUCUAUAUAAACCGGCCCCCGGGCGUCACUCUUCCGUGCUCGUUCCCUGAUUAUAUUAAACCAAUAAAAAAAAAAAGAAAAAGAAACAAAAAACAUACUUAGUUUAGAUACCAAGGCUCCCAAUCUCAGCCUUCCAACGUAAGUAAUUAGUAACUACAUUCUUAAUCAUUAUCCUUGUUCUGGUCUUGAUUAGUGUUGUUGAUUUAGUUAAUUAAAAUUAAUUUAUUUGCUUUGAUU